CGCAAGCCUGACGGAGCAAGACCGCGUGGGGGAUGACGGCCUAAUGGUUGUAAACCCCUUUUCUCAGGGAAGAAGUUCUGACGGUACCUGAGGAAUCAACAUCGGCUAACUCCGUGCCAGCAGCCGCGGUAAGACGGAGGAUGCAAGCGUUAUCCGGAAUUAUUGGGCGUAAAGCGUCCGUAGGCGGUUUAUCAAGUCUGCCGUUAAAGACUGCAGCUUAACUGUGGGCGAGCGGUGGAAACUGAUGAACUAGAGUACGGUAGGGGUAGAGGGAAUUCCAGUGUAGCGGUGAAAUGCGUAGAUAUUGGGAAGAACACCAGUGGCGAAAGCGCUCGACUGGGCCUGCACUGACACUGAGGGACGAAAGCUAGGGGAGCG
rnacentral:rRNA from 1 species